AAUAGAUACCCCGGUAGUCCAUGCCGUAAACGUUGGGCGCUAGAUGUGGGGACCAUUCCACGGUUUCCGUGUCGCAGCUAACGCAUUAAGCGCCCCGCCUGGGGAGUACGGCCGCAAGGCUAAAACUCAAAGGAAUUGACGGGGGCCCGCACAAGCGGCGGAGCAUGCGGAUUAAUUCGAUGCAACGCGAAGAACCUUACCAAGGCUUGACAUAUACGAGAACGCUCUAGAAAUAGAGAACUCUUUGGACACUCGUAUACAGGUGGUGCAUGGUUGUCGUCAGCUCGUGUCGUGAGAUGUUGGGUUAAGUCCCGCAACGAGCGCAACCCUCGUUCUAUGUUGCCAGCGGUUCGGCCGGGAACUCAUAGGAGACUGCCGGGGUCAACUCGGAGGAAGGUGGGGAUGACGUCAAAUCAUCAUGCCCCUUAUGUCUUGGGCUUCACGCAUGCUACAAUGGCCGGUACAAAGGGCUGCAAUCCGUAAGGUGGAGCGAAUCCCAAAAAGCCGGUCUCAGUUCGGAUUGAGGU
rnacentral:rRNA from 1 species